UGGUGUGCUGUGAUGAAUCUUAUUUACGGACUAGAGUUUAUGAUCUGGGCUCUUCUCCCAGAAAUUGAUCACAAACCCUUGGCUGUCUGAGUACACAU